GGUAUGUAGUAAUAAUACAUUUUAAUAAUGCUGAGUGUGGGAUCAGUUAACUAAAAAUUUCGUUGAUAAUAAGCAAUGUAUGUACAGUAACUAGCUGGUUCACGUUAGAUAUUUUAUGCAUGUGUCUGUGGUAAUUUUAGGUUGUUGAUAGUUAAUUUCACUGAUAGUUUGAGCCUCGUGUAAAUUUCUUAAAAAGCUGUAAUUAUUAUUUUAUUUAACAUUAUUAUGUUUGCUGUCAAGACUGAUAUUUAUUUAUAUAUAUUUAUUGACGUUGAUAUGUAAACUUAACCAACUCAGUUGUACUUGACUAAUGCAAUAAUGACAGGUCCACCAGUUUAGUUCAAGUAUAUUGUAAAACAUUUGAACAAAACAACAUUUGGACAUAACAUACACACAUUGAACAUGCAUACCUCGCUUGUGUUUCCGCCUGCAUCAAUUUAGUUGUAUAGCUGCAUUGCUGGUUAACACCUCUGAGCAGAUUCUCCAUGUUCUUCUUUUAUGUGGAGCUGCUCACCUUAAACAGAUACAGUACAUUGAAGUAAUGUUUUAACACAAAUUAAGCCCUAUAAUAUUGUUUAUGUUUACAAUAAUUGGUAAAAAGUUUGACGGAUAAAAUGGUUCUUACCCUUCUCUAUAUAAGCCCCUUUGUCUGUUAACUUUUGUUCGAGCCUGUCUAGAUCUUUUAUCAGUCUAGAAAGAUGUUGGAGAAAAGACAUCAUCCUCUUCUAUAAUCUCCAUCUGUAAUUGGACUAACAACUGGACCAGUGAAUGCAGGUCACACCAUGGUCUCACGAGUGAAAAUGAGUGCUCUGGAUUGAACAGAAAAGGUGAAUCAAAACUCCAACCAUCUGUAUGAGGGUCUGGAAAAAGGAUGCCCCCUGGAGCUGGAAAUGAUGGAUCAGGUGGAUCCACACUUGAACCAUCUGUAUGAUGAUCUGCACCCACUGGAUCUGUAAAUGGUGGAGCAGGUUUCUGAAUUGAUGUCAGAUGCAAAGCAGAAGCUUAUUUUCUUCCAGUUUGGCUUCAUUAUGGAAAAAUGCUGGAAACUAAAAUGCAGAAUUCUGGCCUGGUGUUUGGUCCCCCCGUUCUCUGGCUUGUGUCUCCAUCAUCAUUACACUCUUGUCAGUGUAAUAGUAUCGUCGUCUGCGUACCAGGACUUUGUUACUCAGCUGUCCCUUCUCCUUCAAAC